rnacentral:rRNA from 1 species
ACCCGCUGAACUUAAGCAUAUCAAUAAGCGGAGGAAAAGAAAAUAACCAUGAUUGCCCUAGUAACGGCGAGUGAAGAGGCAAAAGCUCAAGUUUGGAAGCUCAGUGGUUUAACCACUGCGCAUUGUAAACUGAAAACAGGAUCAAUCAGAUACACCGGGUAACAAGUUCCUUGGAAUAGGACAUCAUGGAGGGUGAGAAUCCUGUCUUUGACCCGAGACUAGUAUCUUUUGUAUUGGCCUGUUCAAGAGUCAGGUUGUUUGGGAAUGCAGCCUAAAGCUGGGGGUAAAUCCCUCCUGAAGCUAAAUAAUGGCGAGAGACCGAUAGCGAACAAGUACCGUGAGGGAAAGAUGAAAAGAACUCUGAAGAGAGAGUUAAACAGUACGUGAAAUUGCUUAAAGGGAAGCAUAUAAAGCUAGGAUGCGAUUGUUUUCUUCAGGUUGAGCUUUGGCUUGACUGUUUAGAAGGAUAAUCCGAGACAACAAGAAUUGGAAGAGAAGAAUAAGCCGUGAGGGAAGGUAAUCCUUCGGGAUGUUUAUAGACCUUGCGGUUCGCGCUUUUCUUUCGAUUGAGGAAUGCUGUAACAGGUUGUUGUCUGAAUGGCUUUAUAUGGCCCGUCUUGAAACACGG